CCUACGGGCGGCAGCAGUGGGGGAUAUUGCACAAUGGGGGAAACCCUGAUGCAGCGACGCCGCGUGGGCGAAGAAGUAUUUCGGUAUGUAAAGCCCUAUCAGCCGGGAAGAAGAAAUGACGGUACCUGACUCAGAAGCACCGGCUAAAUACGUGCAAGCAGCCGCGGUAAUACGUAUGGUGCAAGCGUUAUCCGGAUUUACUGGGUGUAAAGGGAGCGCAGGCGGCACGGCAAGCCUGAUGUGAAAGCCCGCGGCCCAACCGCGGGACUGCAUUGGGAACUACCGGGCUGGAGUGCCGGAGAGGUAGGUGGAAUUCCUGGUGUAGCGGUGAAAUGCGUAGAUAUUAGGAGGAACACCAGUGGCGAAGGCGGCCUACUGGACGGUGACUGACGCUGAGGCCCGAAAGCGUGGGGAGCAAACAGGAUUAGAUACCCGGGUAGUC
rnacentral:rRNA from 1 species